AUUGAACGCUGGCGGCAUGCUUUACACAUGCAAGUCGAACGGCAGCACGGGGGCAACCCUGGUGGCGAGUGGCGAACGGGUGAGUAAUGCAUCGGAACGUACCCAGUCGUGGGGGAUAACGCAGCGAAAGUUGUGCUAAUACCGCAUACGACCUGAGGGUGAAAGCGGGGGACCGUAAGGCCUCGCGCGAUUGGAGCGGCCGAUGUCUGAUUAGCUAGUUGGUGGGGUAAAGGCCCACCAAGGCGACGAUCAGUAGCGGGUCUGAGAGGAUGAUCCGCCACACUGGGACUGAGACACGGCCCAGACUCCUACGGGAGGCAGCAGUGGGGAAUUUUGGACAAUGGGGGCAACCCUGAUCCAGCCAUGCCGCGUGCGGGAAGAAGGCCUUCGGUGUAAACCGCUUUCGACGGAAGAAAUACGCAUGGACUAAUACUCUGUGUGGAUGACGGUACCGCAAGAAGAAGCACCGGCGUAACUACGUGCCAGCAGCCGCGGUAAU
rnacentral:rRNA from 1 species